CUCAGGAUGAACCUAGCGGCAGGCCUAAUACAUGCAAGUCGAACGGUAAGGUCUCUUCGGAGAUACACGAGUGGCGCACGGGUGAGUAACGCGUAUGCAACCUACCUUUAACUGAAGAAUAGCCCCGAGAAAUCGGGAUUAAUACUUCAUAAUAAUAUAAAACGACAUCGUUUAAUAUUUAAAGCUCCGGCGGUUAAAGAUGGGCAUGCGUGACAUUAGAUAGUUGGUGAGGUAACGGCUCACCAAGUCAGCGAUGUCUAGGGGUUCUGAGAGGAUUAUCCCCCACACUGGUACUGAGACACGGACCAGACUCCUACGGGAGGCAGCAGUAAGGAAUAUUGGUCAAUGGACGCAAGUCUGAACCAGCCAUGCCGCGUGCAGGAUGACAGCCCUAUGGGUCGUAAACUGCUUUUAUAAAAGAAGAAACCUUUCUACGUGUAGAGAGCUGACGGUAUUUUAUGAAUAAGGACCGGCUAACUCCGUGCCAGCAGCCGCGGUAAUACGGAGGGUCCAAGCGUUAUCCGGAUUUAUUGGGUUUAAAGGGUGCGUAGGCGGAUUUAUAAGUCAGUGGUGAAAGCCUGCAGCUCAACUGUAGAAUUGCCAUUGAUACUGAUUAUCUUGAGUUUAGUUGAAGUGGGCGGAAUAUGUCAUGUAGCGGUGAAAUGCAUAGAUAUGACAUAGAACACCGAUCGCGAAGGCAGCUCACUAAGCUAUAACUGACGCUCAGGCACGAAAGCGUGGGGAGCAAACAGGAUUAGAUACCCUGGUAGUCCACGCCGUAAACGAUGAUAACUCGAUGUUGGCAAUAUACCGUCAGCGUCCAAGCGAAAGCGUUAAGUUAUCCACCUGGGGAGUACGAUCGCAAGAUUGAAACUCAAAGGAAUUGACGGGGGCCCGCACAAGCGGAGGAGCAUGUGGUUUAAUUCGAUGAUACGCGAGGAACCUUACCUGGGCUCAAACGUAGAGUGACCAUCUGUGAAAGCAGAUUUUCCUUCGGGACAGUCUACGAGGUGCUGCAUGGUUGUCGUCAGCUCGUGCCGUGAGGUGUCGGGUUAAGUCCCAUAACGAGCGCAACCCCUAUCCUUAGUUGCCAGCGGAUAAUGCCGGGGACUCUGAGGAAACUGCCUACGCAAGUAGUGAGGAAGGUGGGGAUGACGUCAAAUCAGCACGGCCCUUACGUCUAGGGCUACACACGUGCUACAAUGGCCGAUACAAAGGGUAGCUACCUGGUGACAGGAUGCAAAUCUCUAAAUCUGGUCUCAGUUCGGAUCGAAGUCUGCAACUCGACUUCGUGAAGUUGGAUUCGCUAGUAAUCGUGUAUCAGCAAUGACACGGUGAAUCGUUCCCGGGCCUUGUACACACCGCCCGUCAAGCCAUGGAAGUUGGGAGUGCCUAAAGUCCGUAACCGAAAGGAGCGGCCUAGG
rnacentral:rRNA from 1 species